GACGAACGCUGGCGGCGUGCUUAACACAUGCAAGUCGAACGGUAAGGCCCUUCGGGGUACACGAGUGGCGAACGGGUGAGUAACACGUGGGUGAUCUGCCCUGCACUUCGGGAUAAGCCUGGGAGACUGGGUCUAAUACCGGAUAGGACCACUGCCUGCAUGGGUGGUGGGGGAAAGCUUUUGCGGUGUGGGAUGGGCCCGCGGCCUAUCAGCUUGUUGGUGGGGUGAUGGCCUACCAAGGCGACGACGGGUAGCCGGCCUGAGAGGGUGACCGGCCACACUGGGGCUGAGAUACGGCCCAGACUCCUACGGGAGGCAGCAGUGGGGAAUAUUGCACAAUGGGCGCAAGCCUGAUGCAGCGACGCCGCGUGAGGGAUGACGGCCUUCGGGUUGUAAACCUCUUUCAGCACCGACGAAGCGCAAGUGACGGUAGGUGCAGAAGAAGGACCGGCCAACUACGUGCCAGCCGCCGCGGUAA
rnacentral:rRNA from 1 species